GACGUAGGGCGCGAGCGUUGUCCGGAUUUAUUGGGCGUAAAGAGCUCGUAGGCGGUUCGUCGCGUCGGCUGUGAAAACCCGGAGCUCAACUCCGGGCCUGCAGUCGAUACGGGCGGACUUGAGUGUUGCAGGGGAGACUGGAAUUCCUGGUGUAGCGGUGGAAUGCGCAGAUAUCAGGAGGAACACCGGUGGCGAAGGCGGGUCGCUGGGCCGUUGCUGGACGCUGAGGCGCGAAAGCGUGGGGAGCAAACAGG
rnacentral:rRNA from 1 species